rnacentral:rRNA from 1 species
UAGGGAAUCUUCGGCAAUGGGGGCAACCCUGACCGAGCAACGCCGCGUGAGUGAAGAAGGAUUUCGGAUCGUAAAGCUCUGUUGUAAGAGAAGAACGUGUGUGAGAGUGGAAAGUUCACACAGUGACGGUAACUUACCAGAAAGGGACGGCUAACUACGUGCCAGCAGCCGCGGUAAUACGUAGGUCCCGAGCGUUGUCCGGAUUUAUUGGGCGUAAAGCGAGCGCAGGCGGUUUAAUAAGUCUGAAGUUAAAGGCAGUGGCUUAACCAUUGUUCGCUUUGGAAACUGUUAAACUUGAGUGCAGAAGGGGAGAGUGGAAUUCCAUGUGUAGCGGUGAAAUGCGUAGAUAUAUGGAGGAACACCGGUGGCGAAAGCGGCUCUCUGGUCUGUAACUGACGCUGAGGCUCGAAAGCGUGGGGAGCAAACAGG